rnacentral:rRNA from 1 species
AGUGGAACCCAAGGCUCCAUCCAUAGGGGGGCCGAGUUCUGAUUAGCUAGUUGGUGGGUAAAUGCUACAAGCGACGAUCAGUAGCUGUUCUGAGAGGACGAUCAGCAACUGGGACUGAGACACGGCCCAGACUCUACGGAGGCAGCAGUGGGGAUUUGGACAAUGGGGGCAACCCUGAUCCAGCAAUGCCGCGUGUGUGAAGAAGGCCUUCGGGUUGUAAAGCACUUUUGUCCGGGAAGAAAUCGCACCUGAUAAUACCGGGUGUGGAUGACGGUACCGGAAGAAUAAGGACCGGCUAACUACGUGCCAGCAGCCGCGGUAAUACGUAGGGUCCAAGCGUUAAUCGGAAUUACUGGGCGUAAAGCGUGCGCAGGCGGUUGUGCAAGACCGAUGUGAAAUCCCCGGGCUUAACCUGGGAAUUGCAUUGGUGACUGCACGGCUAGAGUGCGUCAGAGGGGGGUAGAAUUCCACGUGUAGCAGUGAAAUGCGUAGAGAUGUGGAGGAAUACCGAUGGCGAAGGCAGCCCCCUGGGAUAACACUGACGCUCAUGCACGAAAGCGUGGGGAGCAAACAGGAUUAGAUACCCUGGUAGUCCACGCCCUAAACGAUGUCAACUAGUUGUUGGGGAUUCAUUUCCUUAGUAACGUAGCUAACGCGUGAAGUUGACCGCCUGGGAGUACGGUCGCAAGAUUAAAACUCAAAGGAAUUGACGGGGACCCGCACAAGCGGUGGAUGAUGUGGAUUAAUUCGAUGCAACGCGAAAAACCUUACCUACCCUUGACAUGCCACUAACGAAGCAGAGAUGCAUUAGGUGCUCGAAAGAGAAAGUGGACACAGGUGCUGCAUGGCUGUCGUCAGCUCGUGUCGUGAGAUGUUGGGUUAAGUCCCGCAACGAGCGCAACCCUUGUCUCUAGUUGCUACGAAAGGGCACUCUAGAGAGACUGCCGGUGACAAACCGGAGGAAGGUGGGGAUGACGUCAAGUCCUCAUGGCCCUUAUGGGUAGGGCUUCACACGUCAUACAAUGGUGCAUACUGAGGGUUGCCAAGCCGCGAGGUGGAGCCAAUCCCAGAAAAUGCAUCGUAGUCCGGAUCGUAGUCUGCAACUCGACUACGUGAAGCUGGAAUCGCUAGUAAUCGCGGAUCAGCAUGCCGCGGUAUUCGCAUG